rnacentral:rRNA from 1 species
GCGUGCUUAACACAUGCAAGUCGAACGGGUAUGCUUAUGGAAGGAGUGCUUGCACUUUGGAAAUGAGUAUCUUAGUGGCGGACGGGUGAGUAACGCGUGGGUAACCUGCCCCAUACCGGGGGAUACCACCUGGAAACAGGUGCUAAUACCGCAUAAGCGCACGGGAGCGCAUGCUCCUGUGUGAAAAACUCCGGUGGUAUGGGAUGGACCCGCGUCUGAUUAGCCAGUUGGCAGGGUAACGGCCUACCAAAGCGACGAUCAGUAGCCGGCCUGAGAGGGUGGACGGCCACAUUGGGACUGAGACACGGCCCAAACUCCUACGGGAGGCAGCAGUGGGGAAUAUUGCACAAUGGGGGAAACCCUGAUGCAGCGACGCCGCGUGAGUGAAGAAGUAUUUCGGUAUGUAAAGCUCUAUCAGCAGGAACGAGACAAGACGGUACCUGACUAAGAAGCCCCGGCUAACUACGUGCCAGCAGCCGCGGUAAUACGUAGGGGGCAAGCGUUAUCCGGAAUCACUGGGUGUAAAGGGAGCGUAGACGGCUGAGCAAGCCUGAAGUGAAAGGCGGGGGCCCAACCCCCGGACUGCUUUGGGAACUGUACGGCUGGAGUGCAGGAGAGGUAAGUGGAAUUCCUAGUGUAGCGGUGAAAUGCGUAGAUAUUAGGAGGAACACCAGUGGCGAAGGCGGCUUACUGGACUGUAACUGACGUUGAGGCUCGAAAGCGUGGGGAGCAAACAGGAUUAGAUACCCUGGUAGUCCACGCCGUAAACGAU